AAAGUGUAACUCACACAUCAUUAGUGGUGUUACACUGAGCUGGUGGAUGAGACAAGUACUGAUCUGCAGGGAGACUCCAGAUACCAGGUCACACAACAUUCUCCCUGUGACUUCACUCUGUGAACAUCCAGAGGGAGGACAACAACAGGAAGUGGACAUGUCAGCUGACUCAAGGUGGAAAUUUGACCUUCAUUGACUUUGUUCUCAGGAAGUACCCCAUGCCAGAGAGCAGGAGCCACAACUACAUGUAUCAGCUCUGCAAGUCUCUGGACCACAUACACAGUCAUGGGCUCUUCCACCAGGCUGUAAAACCAGAGAACAUUCUGAUUAAGUAUCCUGUGUCUUCUCCCCUAAACAG
rnacentral:lncRNA from 1 species